ACGUAGGGUCCGAGCGUUGUCCGGAGUUACUGGGCGUAAAGGGCGCGUAGGCGGGAUGGCAAGUCGGUCGUGAAAUCUCUCGGCUCAACCGAGAAACGUCGGCCGAUACUGCCGUUCUUGAGGGAUGCAGAGGAGACUGGAAUUCCCGGCGUAGCGGUGAAAUGUGUAGAGAUCGGGAGGAACACCGGUGGCGAAGGCGGGUCUCUGGGCAUUUCCUGACGCUGAGGCGCGAAAGCGUGGGGAGCAAACGGGA
rnacentral:rRNA from 1 species